rnacentral:lncRNA from 1 species
AUGAGGAGGAUAAUGAUGGCGAUGGGGGUGAUGAUGUGGAUGAAUAGGAUAUGGGUGGUAGUAAUAUUGAUGAUGGUGAUGAUGAUAAGGCAGAUGUUGAAGAUGAAUAGGAUAUGGGUGGUAGUAAUACUGAUGAUGGUGAUGAUGAUGAGGCAGAUGUUGAGGAUGAAUAGGAUAUGGGUGGUAGUAAUAUUGAUGAUGGUGAUGAUGAUAAGGCAGAUGUUGAGGAUGAAUAGGAUAUGGGUGGUAGUAAUAUUGAUGAUGAUGAUAAGGCAGAUGUUGAGGAUGAAUAGGAUAUGGGUGGUAGUAAUACUGACGAUGGUGAUGAUGAUGAGGCAGAUGUUGAGGAUGAAUAGGAUAUGGGUGGUAGUAAUAUUGAUGAUGAUGGUGAUGAUGAUAAGGCAGAUGUUGAGGAUGAAUAGGAUAUGGGUGGUAGUAAUAUUGAUGAUGGUGAUGAUGAUAAGGCAGAUGUUGAGGAUGAAUAGGAUAUGGGUGGUAGUAAUAUUGACGAUGGUGAUGAUGAUAAGGCAGAUGUUGAGGAUGAAUAGGAUAUGGGUGGUAGUAAUAUUGACGAUGGUGAUGAUGAUGAGGCAGAUGUUGAGGAUGAAUAGGAUAUGGGUGGUAGUAAUACUGACGAUGGUGAUGAUGAUAAGGCAGAUGUUGAGGAUGAAUAGGAUAUGGGUGGUAAUAAUACUGACGAUGGUGAUGAUGAUAAGGCAGAUGUUGAGGAUGAAUAGGAUAUGGGUGGUAGUAAUACUGACGAUGGUGAUGAUGAUAAGGCAGAUGUUGAGGAUGAAUAGGAUAUGGGUGGUAGUAAUACUGACGAUGGUGAUGAUGAUAAGGCAGAUGUUGAGGAUGAAUAGGAUAUGGGUGGUAGUAAUACUGACGAUGGUGAUGAUGAUAAGGCAGAUGUUGAGGAUGAAUAGGAUAUGGGUGGUAGUAAUAUUGACGAUGGUGAUGAUGAUAAGGCAGAUGUUGAGGAUGAAUAGGAUAUGGGUGGUAGUAAUACUGACGAUGGUGAUGAUGAUAAGGCAGAUGUUGAGGAUGAAUAGGAUAUGGGUGGUAGUAAUAUUGAUGAUGGUGAUGAUGAUGAGGCAGAUGUUGAGGAUGAAUAGGAUAUGGGUGGUAGUAAUAUUGACGAUGGUGAUGAUGAUAAGGCAGAUGUUGAGGAUGAAUAGGAUAUGGGUGGUAGUAAUAUUGAUGAUGAUGAUAGUGAUGAUGUCCGAACUAUAA